CAGCAAUUAGAUAGAAAGGAAAUUGAUCUGACUUGGUGGGUAGUAUUUAGCCAUACAUUAUCACUUAGGCUAACUAGUUGUUUGUAGUCCCUCAUUAGAUUUAUACAGGAGAAUUCUUUCCCUCCAUUAGAUUUCACUUGAGAUAAAUUUUUUACUGUACUUAAAAAAAGGCCUUGUGAUUUAGUCUCUCAUUAUUUACUGAAUGUCCUAUUAUUUUC